GGACAAUUAAAAUUAUAUCUAUUGGUCUUGCUCGUCGUAACUAGGAUCUGAUUCCCUUGCUAACCAUCUUGAUAUAUCACCACCCAUAUUUUGAGUCU
rfam:Zea mays cultivar B73 chromosome 10, whole genome shotgun sequence.